rnacentral:rRNA from 1 species
GACGAACGCUGGCGGCGUGCUUAACACAUGCAAGUCGAACGGUGAUGCGCCUUCCUUUUUGGUGGGUGUGGAUGAGUGGCGAACGGGUGAGUAACACGUGAGUAACCUGCCCCCUUCUUCUGGAUAACCGCAUGAAAGUGUGGCUAAUACGGGAUAUUCUGGUUCUGUCGCAUGAUGGGUCUGGGAAAGAUAUUGUUUCGGUGGGGGAUGGGCUCGCGGCCUAUCAGCUUGUUGGUGGGGUGAUGGCCUACCAAGGCGGUGACGGGUAGCCGGCCUGAGAGGGCGGACGGUCACACUGGGACUGAGACACGGCCCAGACUCCUACGGGAGGCAGCAGUGGGGAAUAUUGCACAAUGGGCGCAAGGCUGAUGCAGCGACGCCGCGUGAGGGAUGGAGGCCUUCGGGUUGUGAACCUCUUUAGCCAGUGAAGCAGGCCUGCCUCGUUUGUGGGUGGGUUGACGGUAGCUGGAGAAGAAGCGCCGGCUAACUACGUG